CCGUGCUAGGUGGGGAGGUAGCGGUUCCCUGUACUCGAAUUCGGUCCUAUGCAAUAUGAACCCAUGAACCAUGUCAGGUCCUGACGGAAGCAGCAUUAAGUGGAUCCUCAUAUGUGCCGUAGGGUAGCCGAGAUUUAGCUGUCGACUUCGG
rnacentral:SRP_RNA from 1 species